CCUACGGGUGGCAGCAGUGGGGAAUAUUGCACAAUGGGGGAAACCCUGAUGCAGCGACGCCGCGUGAGUGAAGAAGUAAUUCGGUAUGUAAAGCUCUAUCAGCAGGGAAGAAAAUGACGGUACCUGAGUAAGAAGCCCCGGCUAACUACGUGCGAGCAGCCGCGGUAAUACGUAGGGGGCAAGCGUUAUCCGGAUUUACUGGUGGUAAAGGGAGCGUAGACGGCAGUGCAAGUCUGGAGUGAAAGGCGGGGGCUCAACCCGCGGACUGCUCUGGAAACUGUACGGCUGGAGUGCAGGAGAGGUGAGUGGAAUUCCUAGUGUAGCGGUGAAAUGCGUAGAUAUUAGGAGGAACACCAGUGGCGAAGGCGGCUUACUGGACUGUAACUGACGUUGAGGCUCGAAAGCGUGGGGAGCAAACAGGAUUAGAUACCCUGGUAGUC
rnacentral:rRNA from 1 species